CUUUGAUUUCAUUUUCCCUAGAAAACGAUAAAGAGUUGAUGGAAUGAAAUGUGUGAGAAUGUGUGAAUUUCAACAGGAAUUAGAGCUGAGUAUUUUAGGAAGAGAAAAGACAUCAAUAGCCUUGUAUUUGUCAUGUGAAACGCACGUGCGGUAAGAACCGGUCAUUUUGACCUGCAAACAGGUAAAAAAGGGCAAUGUGGCACAAUUAAUUGAGUACAGAUGAACUCCUGCAAAAAAAAUUUGUUCAGGUGGUGUUGUGCAAAAACUUAAAAAGUUCAGGUGGUUUAAUGAUAUUUACCCU
rnacentral:lncRNA from 1 species